rnacentral:tRNA from 1 species
GGGGAUUUAGCUCAGUGGUAGAGUGCUUGCCUAGCAAGCACAAGGGCCCUGGGGUCAGUCCCCA